rnacentral:rRNA from 1 species
UGAACGCUGGCGGCGCGCCUAACACAUGCAAGUCGAACGAGUAAGACGCCUUCGGGCGUGGAUAGAGUGGCGAACGGGUGAGUAACACGUGACCAACCUGCCCCCUCCUCCGGGACAACCUCGGGAAACCGAGGCUAAUACCGGAUACUCCGGGCACCCCGCAUGGGAUGCCCGGGAAAGCCCUGGCGGGAGGGGAUGGGGUCGCGGCCCAUUAGGUAGACGGCGGGGUAACGGCCCACCGUGCCCGCGAUGGGUAGCCGGGUUGAGAGACCGAUCGGCCACAUUGGGACUGAAACACGGUCCAAACUCC